CCUACGGGAGGCAGCAGUGAGGAAUAUUGGUCAAUGGACGAGAGUCUGAACCAGCCAAGUAGCGUGAAGGAUGACUGCCCUAUGGGUUGUAAACUUCUUUUAUAUGGGAAUAAACUGUUCCACGUGUGGGAUUUUGUAUGUACCAUAUGAAUAAGGAUCGGCUAACUCCGUGCCAGCAGCCGCGGUAAUACGGAGGAUCCGAGCGUUAUCCGGAUUUAUUGGGUUUAAAGGGAGCGUAGGUGGAUUGUUAAGUCAGUUGUGAAAGUUUGCGGCUCAACCGUAAAAUUGCAGUUGAAACUGGCAGUCGUGAGUACAGUAGAGGUGGGCGGAAUGCGUGGUGUAGCGGUGAAAUGCUUAGAUAUCACGAAGAACUCCGAUUGCGAAGGCAGCUCACUGGACUGCAACUGACACUGAGGCUCGAAAGUGUGGGUAUCAAACAGGAUUAGAUACCCUAGUAGUC
rnacentral:rRNA from 1 species